UUGCAGGGAAAAGCUGGGGUGGAGAACACAAGGUCUUGUCGUUGCAAGUGCCCUGCUCUAAUAAGGCUGCUACGAGCGGAGGACAAUGGGUGGUACAUAGCAGAGCAUAGAGACAAUCACAACCACUCGCUGUGGCCUAAUUUCGGUGAGACAGUACACUGGGCCUCAAACAAGCACAUAGAUGUGUACACUAGGGAUAUAGUGAAGCAGUUAAGGCAGAACAAUGUCAACUUAGCAAAGGUGUACGGCAUCACCGGAGGCUACUUUGGAUCAAUGGAAAAUGUUCCGUUCAUGAAGAGGUUGUUGCGUAACCUGUGUGGGAAGAUAAAUAGAGACAAUGCAGAAGAUGAUGUGAAAAAAACAAUGGAUGUGUUCGCAGAGAUUGGGGCUAAAGAUCCACACUUCAUGUAUAGGGUCCAGUCUGACAAUGAGGGCAGGAUUAAGAAUCUGAUGUGGGCUAGUGGGAGUAGCAGGCUGCAAUAUUCAUUUUUUUGGUGA
rnacentral:rRNA from 1 species